rnacentral:rRNA from 1 species
AUUGAACGCUGGUGGCAGGCCUAACACAUGCAAGUCGAGCGGUAGAGAGAAGCUUGCUUCUCUUGAGAGCGGCGGACGGGUGAGUAAUGCCUAGGAAUCUGCCUGGUAGUGGGGGAUAACGUUCGGAAACGGACGCUAAUACCGCAUACGUCCUACGGGAGAAAGCAGGGGACCUUCGGGCCUUGCGCUAUCAGAUGAGCCUAGGUCGGAUUAGCUAGUUGGUGAGGUAAUGGCUCACCAAGGCGAUGAUCUUUAGCCGGCCUGAGAGGGUGACCGGCCACAUUGGGACUGAGAUACGGCCCAGACUCCUACGGGAGGCAGCAGUGGGGAAUAUUGCACAAUGGGCGGAAGCCUGAUGCAGCAACGCCGCGUGCGGGAUGACGGCCUUCGGGUUGUAAACCGCUUUCGCCUGUGACGAAGCGUGAGUGACGGUAAUGGGUAAAGAAGCACCGGCUAACUACGUGCCAGCAGCCGCGGUGAUACGUAGGGUGCGAGCGUUGUCCGGAUUUAUUGGGCGUAAAGGGCUCGUAGGUGGUUGAUCGCGUCGGAAGUGUAAUCUUGGGGCUUAACCCUGAGCGUGCUUUCGAUACGGGUUGACUUGAGGAAGGUAGGGGAGAAUGGAAUUCCUGGUGGAGCGGUGGAAUGCGCAGAUAUCAGGAGGAACACCAGUGGCGAAGGCGGUUCUCUGGGCCUUUCCUGACGCUGAGGAGCGAAAGCGUGGGGAGCGAACAGGCUUAGAUACCCUGAUAGUCCACGCUGUAAACGGUGGGUACUAGGUGUGGGGUCCAUUCCACGGGUUCCGUGCCGUAGCUAACGCUUUAAGUACCCCGCCUGGGGAGUACGGCCGCAAGGCUAAAACUCAAAGGAAUUGACGGGGCCCCGCACAAGCGGCGGAGCAUGCGGAUUAAUUCGAUGCAACGCGUAGAACCUUACCUGGGUUUGACAUGGAUCGGGAGUGCUCAGAGAUGGGUGUGCCUCUUUUGGGGUCGGUUCACAGGUGGUGCAUGCCUGUCGUCAGCUCGUGUCGUGAGAUGUUGGGUUAAGUCCCGCAACGAGCGCAACCCUUGUUCACUGUUGCCAGCACGUUAUGGUGGGGACUCAGUGGAGACCGCCGGGGUCAACUCGGAGGAAGGUGGGGAUGACGUCAAGUCAUCAUGCCCCUUAUGUCCAGGGCUUCACGCAUGCUACAAUGGCUGGUACAGAGAGUGGCGAGCCUGUGAGGGUGAGCGAAUCUCGGAAAGCCGGUCUCAGUUCGGAUUGGGGUCUGCAACUCGACCUCAUGAAGUCGGAGUCGCUAGUAAUCGCAGAUCAGCAACGCUGCGGUGAAUACGUUCCCGGGGCU